rnacentral:tRNA from 1 species
GGAGAGGUGGCUGAGUGGUUGAAAGCGGCGGUCUUGAAAACCGUUGUCCCCGCAAGGGGACCGGGGGUUCGAAUCCCUCCCUCUCCG